rnacentral:rRNA from 1 species
UACGUAGGGUGCGAGCGUUGUCCGGAAUUAUUGGGCGUAAAGAGCUCGUAGGCGGUCUGUCACGUCGGCUGUGAAAUCCCGAGGCUCAACCUCGGGUCUGCAGUCGAUACGGGCAAUCUAGAGUAUUGCAGGGGAGACUGGAAUUCCUGGUGUAGCGGUGAAAUGCGCAGAUAUCAGGAGGAACACCGGUGGCGAAGGCGGGUCUCUGGGCAAUAACUGACGCUGAGGAGCGAAAGCGUGGGGAGCGAACAGG